rnacentral:rRNA from 1 species
GUGAGGAAUAUUGCGCAAUGGAGGCAACUCUGACGCAGCCAUGCCGCGUGCAGGAAGAAGGCGCUACGCGUUGUAAACUGCUUUUAACCGGGAAGAAACCCCAGGACGUGUCCUGGGUUGACGGUACCGGAGGAAUAAGCACCGGCUAACUUCGUGCCAGCAGCCGCGGUAAUACGAAGGGUGCAAGCGUUAUCCGGAUUCAUUGGGUUUAAAGGGUGCGUAGGCGGAGCGUUAAGUCAGUGGUGAAAUCCUGCAGCUUAACUGUAGACUUGCCAUUGAUACUGGCGCUCUUGAGUGCGCUUGAAGUGGGCGGAAUGUGCCGUGUAGCGGUGAAAUGCUUAGAUAUGGCACAGAACACCAAUUGCGAAGGCAGCUCACUAAGGCGAUACUGACGCUGAGGCACAAAAGCGUGAGGAUCGAACAGGAUUAGAUACCCCUGUAGUCC